rnacentral:rRNA from 1 species
UACGUAGGGGGCGAGCGUUGUUCGGAAUUACUGGGCGUAAAGGGCUCGUAGGCGGCCAACUAAGUCAGACGUGAAAUCCCUCGGCUUAACCGGGGAACUGCGUCUGAUACUGGAUGGCUUGAAUCCGGGAGAGGGAUGCGGAAUUCCAGGUGUAGCGGUGAAAUGCGUAGAUAUACGGAGGAACACCAGCGGCGAAGGCGGGUAGCUGGGCCAACACUGACGCUGAUGCGCGAAAGCUAGGGGAGCAAACGGG